CUCUCGGACGCCAAGAUCCCAGACUGCCAGGCCGGCUGGGAAAAGGCGAUGACCGUGCUUCUCGCGGCGAUGGGCGGCUCCAACUACAUCCACCAUUCGG
rfam:Desulfococcus multivorans DSM 2059 ctg16, whole genome shotgun sequence.